GGGGAAUAUUGCGCAAUGGGCGAAAGCCUGACGCAGCGACGCCGCGUGAGGGACGAAGGCCUUCGGGUUGUAAACCUCUUUCAGCAGGGACGAAGCCGCAAGGUGACUGUACCUGCAGAAGAAGCACCGGCUAACUACGUGCCAGCAGCCGCGGUAAUACGUAGGGUGCAAGCGUUGUCCGGAAUUAUUGGGCGUAAAGAGCUCGUAGGCGGUCUGUCGCGUCGGAUGUGAAAACCCAGGGCCCAACCCUGGGCCUGCAUUCGAUACGGGCAGACUAGAGUUCGGCAGGGGAGACUGGAAUUCCUGGUGUAGCGGUGAAAUGCGCAGAUAUCAGGAGGAACACCGGUGGCGAAGGCGGGUCUCUGGGCCGAUACUGACGCUGAGGAGCGAAAGCGUGGGGAGCAAAC
rnacentral:rRNA from 1 species